CGGCGUCGCGCGUCGGUACGCGCGCGUGUGUACACGUCUUGCACGUGUAGGUAUGCGUUGCCACCGGUGAACCGAGAGACAACACACUCCACAUCAGCAUCGAGGAGAGACCACCUUCCCUGAGAUCACCAUGUCACACUGCGCUAAAUGUCAUCGGGUCCCCCGUUGGAGGAUGCUUGCUCAAUUGUCACAAUUUCUUCAACGACGAGCCGCUUUGCGGGGAUCCGCUUUUCUUUUCCGUCGACUAUAGUCGGACGGAAGCUCGGACACGAUUGUUGCUGAUAACUUUCUCUAAUAGGUUCUCUAACAGCAACUGCAUGGUGUUGAGGCAUUGCUCCCGUCAACGUAUCUGAAACUGUCAAUCGCAGUAAUUCGAGACCGAGGUGUGAUCUACGUGGCGGCAGAGCCCGAGAGAUCUACGAUGAUCGAGCCGGCGAUUAGAUAUUUCGAGGUGCAUCCAAUCGUUGCAUCCGCUGAUUGCGAGACUCGUAUGCAGAUUCCGGCGCGGAUACUACGAGGUACGGGCUUGUAGAGAUGUAGGGGACUUCGAUUGGUCGGCAUAUACAAGGUUAUCCUCCUCGGGAUGCUGGGAGAUGUAUUCCAAGGCUUUCAGGAUGGCAUCGGGAAUCGGAGGCGCGACCGGCAGAUGCUCG